rnacentral:rRNA from 1 species
UACAGAGGUCUCAAGCGUUGUUCGGAUUCAUUGGGCGUAAAGGGUGCGUAGGUGGCGGGGUUAGUCAGGUGUGAAAUCUCGGAGCUUAACUCCGAAACUGCAUUCGAUACUGCCGUGCUUGAGGACUGGAGAGGAGACUGGAAUUUACGGUGUAGCGGUGAAAUGCGUAGAUAUCGUAAGGAAGACCAGUGGCGAAGGCGGGUCUCUGGACAGUUCCUGACGCUGAGGCACGAAGGCUAGGGGAGCAAACGGG